AUUCUCUCAGUAAACAUUUACACUGAGCACCUGUUAAGUCAACAUAGGCACCACGGUAGGGGCUGCGAAUUCAGCGUGAAGUGUGCCCACGGGGCCAGCGCGCGAUGGGCCCUCCGUCCACCAACAACCACUGAAUGAUUUUCCUAGAAAGAUGACAACUGCCACCAUUCACAGGAUCUUCCAAGAUGAGGAGGUCCUCUGGCCCCAAGGCUUGGCACAAGAGAAAUGGGAUGGCCCGUGGCUGGCUGGGCACACACUGUCUUAUGCUCAGCAACUUGUCUGGGAGCUCCGGUGUCCUGAGCCUUCUGUUUGCUCUUAACCAGGAAGAUGGGCAUCAUUCCACAGCAGUUUGCAAACGGGAGUCGGAAAGGGAAGUGACUUUCUUAAGAUCACACAGCCACACAAGCUGGAGCUAGGGUGGAAGCCCCAUGCCUGAAUCUAGAGGGGUCUCCACUCCGGAUGCACAGGGAAUCACUAGGGGAACUUGUACAACUGCCAACCUCUCAGCGGCUGCCCACAGAGGGUCCAAUUUAAUUGAUUUAAUUGGCGGGGCCUGGGCAGCGGUAGGGGGCAGGUUAGAGCGCCCCAGGUGAUGCUAAUAGGCUGCAGGAGCUGAGAAUCACUGUGCCAGAGCCUGCAGCACAAGCACGCUGGCUCGGGCGCAGAGGAACCAUCCCGGCUCUGCCGCUAACUUGCUGUGUGCAAAGCCAUAACCUCUCUCUUCUUCAGUUUCUUCAUUUGUCAAAAGGGAGAUCUCUUUCAGGGUCUCCUUCACAUGUGGGAUCUGUGAGUCAUGGGGUGAUGGGAAGACGCUUGAAGCCCUCAGCGGGGUGUGACUGCGGGAAGGGGCUUGAGGUCCUGGCCCCCCUGCCUGAGGCAAGUGGGGAGAGCGGGGCUCCUCUCCUAACGUGAUUCCCAGAACUCUUCUCUGUUCUCCGUUCCCGGUGGUGAAAAGCACGUUGCAGAACAAACAGAGCUAUGCCCGUUUCCCAGAUGAUGAAGGGCCGCCCGGAGGAUGCGUGUUGACCGGCCAACGUUCCCACUACAAAUGUGGGCCCCGGAGCCAGAAUUUCUUGAUUAGGAAAAAGUACUUCCUGCCGGCAGCGCCUCAGGAAGCGGAUCGUAAAAGUUCUUUUCCCCGCGCACCUCUUCGUGCGUGGGGCCUCUGCGUCCAGAGUCUGGAGCGCGAACCCGACGCGGCCAGGACAGAGCGGGAGGCCCUGAGCGGUACUGCGGGGCAGCGGCUCCCCCCGGCAGCUGUCCCAGGUUGCAGCGUCAGGGCAGUGGGUGUGGAUCCGCGCCGCGACCUCAGGCGCAACAGUUAGCAGUUUCCUUCCGUUUCCUAGCUCCCAGGCUCGGAAGGAAACCCUUUCGGUUGUGUGCGAGGACCUCUUCUGCUCCCUGGGGUCCAAGGAAGUGGAGCUCUGGGCCUCAGGUCACCGUGGCACUGCCGAGACUGGCUCUUCACUCGUCUUGGUCCCUGGGGGGCAGCGGCGCCAUCGAGUCCGGGUGCAGCCCCCGGGUCUUCAUGCCCUGUGCCUGCGGGCAGUCGUGGCCAGCCCACCCCGACGCGACUCCUCCCCCUUUGCCGAGACCACCACCCCUGUGCCCCCGUCUCAGUCGACUCCCCUCUUCAACUCAAGCCGCCACUCACAUCCCCCCUUCCCUCUGGAACCACACAGAUGGCUCCCCCUCCCCCGCCCCAGGGGCCUAAGACUUAACAGCUCUUUACUUGCGGAGUUGGGGUGGGUAGGUGAGAGAGUGCACCCUUUCAGAAACCCCAGAAUGACCUCUGUUUCCCAGAAUGGGAAGCGGGGAAGGGGAAGGAAGAAGCUCUAUUCUUCCUUCGGGCAUUCAGAGCAAAAGCAUUAGCGAAUGCCACUUCUACCCACACCCACACGGCUGAAACCAAACCAAACCCCAAACACCGACUUUUUUGGUUUUACUAAAUUGCUCACCUUGUUACAUUAGCCUCAUUUCACAGACAAAGAAACCAAGGCUUAAAGGGUUUAGUUACUUCAACUGCCACUUGGCCUUGGGUCACAGUUUACAGAGAUACCCACCUCACCAUUUGCAUACUCGGUGGGACUAGUGUCGGGUGGUGGGCACUGCCCCAAACUGUGUCCGCAUGGCUCUAAGCAGUUACUCACCUGCUGGGACACACCCUCCAUUACAACUUUAGCCACAGCCAGCAAAUGGGUAGGACUUGACCGAGAGACAAUUACAUUCCAGCCACUGAAGACAGAACUAGCUAAGCUUCCUUCAGGAAUGCAUCACCAUGGCUUAGGACUCUACAGCUUAGGUGUGCUUGAUUUUUGAUCACCUCUCCUGGACCAGACACUGUGCUCACAGUUUUAUGUAUAUUAUCAUAUCAUCCCCACAAGAAUCCUACUAAUAUCUUUGCUCUCCAGAUAAGGAAAAGGUUGCUAAGAGCGCUGAGUAACUUUCCCAAGUCCUGUAAUAAGCAGGUUGGCUAAUUGGGAUAUGAGCCUGAAUUUCCUAAUUUUAAUCCCCUGUUCUUUCCAUAAUGUAUCAGUGAAGGUAACUGGGCAAUUUCAUUUUUCAGAGAAAUAAAAGCAAGAGAGGGGAAUGCCAAUGUUCACUCCUUUCAUCUGUGGUGACACACGGGUAGACCACGGGGAAAGCAAUCAGACAUUUCAGUCUCAGGAACUCAGUGAUGGGAGAGCAGCCACGACAGUGGUUAUUCCACAAAGGACCACCAGGUAGCACCAUUGCACAACAGCUGCGUACCCAACAGCUCAACUCAGACCAGAAUGGGAAGAUGCAGCCCGGAGGAGUGGCCUGCUUUUCAUUAAGUCACUCAAAUGACCUGACGAGGGAGUUUGGAGACAAGAUACACAGAGGGAAGACCCUAUGAAGACAUAGGGAGAAGACAGCCAUCUGCAAGCCAAGGAGAGAGGCCUCGGGAGAAACCAACCCUGCUGACACCUUAAUCUUGGACUUCUAGCCUCCAGCACGGUGAAAAAAUAACUUUCUGUUGUUGAAGCCCGCCCUGUCUGUGGUCCUUUGAUAUGACAGCCUUGGCAAAUGAAUACACUGAGUUACACAGACUAACGGGGAAGAAGCCGUAAGGAUAGAAGAAGCUAAGAUUGCUUCUUUCAGCGAUAAAUCCCUUUUCCCAGAAUAAUUUGUGC